CCCAAGCACGUCCACGUGUGAGAUGAGUUGUUAGCUCCCCCCGUGAGAACCAGUCGUGUCUGUUGUGUAUCAGGGCCAUGGCUCAGAGGUUGGCUGGAAGUGCGAUGGGGACCCGCAGCCAGGAGAGAAGGUCCUGCAGGAUAUAAAGGAGAGGAGAGGGCAGGAGAGGCGGCUCCAAGUGAUCCAACAGCAGCUGGAGAUCCUGGGCCAGGGCCAAGAAAUGACUAAUGAGUCACCAGACCUUACUGAGGAGCAGUUACUUGGUCUGCUGGAUGAAUGUGAGCUGACAGAGAGCUGGAUCCAGGAUCUUGAAACGAAUGACACCACGAGACCCUAAAAAAGACUCGGAUGGGCCUAAUCCAUCUGACGCCCUGCUGUCAGAACGGCUAUCAAAAGAUGCAUUAUUGCUUGGAUGUCACUAUCAGACUAUUUGGGAGUUGUAAGAGAAAAACGAAUGAUUCUAAACUUAUUUAAUUGACAUAACUAACCUGUCUUAUAUAUAGUAACAUAAACUGAUUUUGAACAUGUUUCACAGUGUGUCUGUAAAGGAAAACCUAACUUUUGGUUAAUUGGUAAACUGAGAAUGAGAACUGUUAUUUUUGUCCUAAUUGGUCUCCAUGUUUUCAACAUGUGGCUGGAUUAUGUCCCAUUUUUUAAAUUUGUGUUUAUGGCUCUGCAUGAGGAAACAGAGCAGCAGGGCCACCCUUUGUAUUAACCUAAGUAUCAUAGAUGAGAACAGAAAAUUGGUGUCAUUAAAUCUAAUAACUGGGUACGGUGGCCGCAGAAUGUUCUAUUGCGCACAUAAACACUCAGCUGAUAGCACCGUGUCUGUGGGGUCAAGUCUGAACACUAUAUUGUAUGAACUUUAAGCCUUCUACCAUGAAAUGUCUCUGUUAAUAUUAGUAAAUGUGUGGUCAAGCAUCCAAAGUGGCUGUUAAUGAGGAUACAGGGAUGAUGUGUGCUCCACAGGAGUGAUAGUCAGAUCUAGUUCAGCUCCCAGGAUUUCUUUGAUUCUGAAAUUGGGCCCUGUUUGGAGCUGGACCUCCUUCCAGCUUAAUUUUCAUUUUAAAAUACAAGAUUCCAUUGGCAAAAGAUGGUCAGAUUUGAGAAUUAUUUUUUACUAUACUUUGGUUUGUUUGUAGAGAUGUUGCCGCGGCUCCUGUUUGGUCCCGCUUGCACAGUGUGAGUAGCCAGUCUGCACCUGGUUGACCUCAGCCCAGAGGUCCCACCUUUCCUCUCUCUGGCUCUGGACACCCACAGGCUUGUUCGUCUCACUCUUCACCUCACCCACACAUUCUGACCCUGUUUAAAGGGCAGGAAUUAUCUCACAUUCCUCUGGACUGAAAACUCGUCGGCCAGGUGAGCCUCCAAGGUCAAACUCCAAUGAACCUGCAGAACUAUACGUCGGGGAAUGUUAUCAGACAGCUCAGCACACGUCCAAAAAAGCACAUGCAAACACUGACUGAGCGCACUAGAUUAGCCUUUUUCAAAACUUAUAAUAAUUUCAUAGCUACAAAUGCAGUAUAUGUAGCAUUUAGUCCAUCUGACAAAUACCAUCUAUGUAAUUGAGACAAUAUGUUUUUAGUAGGGAAGAUAUACCACACGUUUGGGGUAAUGGAAACAGUGAGGUCAGUGUGGUAAGAAUGAGGUCACUUCUAAUGUAAAGAGACCUGCAGCAUACUGAGACUGUCUGGUUUUUCUGGCAGGACUCUCACUGGUGCCUUAGAUUACAGCUCUUUCUGGCCCUGUGAAAGAUCUCAAUUAGCAGUCUGAUUUCUGUUUGCUGAUGAUAUACGGGUGCAGGGUCUUACAGCGUAACAGUCCGCAAGCUACAGACCUAGUCUAGGGAUACCUCAUCUACUUUGACAAGUUUUAUUGAACUAUAGAAUUUCAAUGCACAUUCUUACUGACAAGAGUGGACCACAGCCAUAAGGUAAGUUCAUUUGCCCAAAGAGAGUGAAUUUAUCACAGAAUGCAAACGUCCUUAUGUGUACUUCUCACAUGCAGUGUUGUCAUUUGAAUGUGUAAGGAGGUGCCUGUGUAAUGUGUUAUCAGAUCUGUAUGGAUAUGCUGUUUAAGUGGGUUAUACUUCAUAUUGAGUUUUCCUGCUGUUGACUCUCAAGGAUACUCCCUUUCUCCAAGGCUUCACUAGACUCAACUAAUAAAUUCCAGUCGCUUGACACAG